GGAGAGAUGGCCGAGCGGCUGAAGGCGCACGCCUGGAAAGUGUGUAUACGUUAAAAGCGUAUCGAGGGUUCGAAUCCCUCUCUCUCCG
rnacentral:tRNA from 1 species